GGCGUCCUACAUAAGGACACCACAUACACUGAACAUGCUGGCACUGACAUUUACAUCCCACCUGAAUGUUAUGUUGAUAAAGAAUACGAGGCGGAACCUUUCACCAUCUGGGGUCUGGGCGUGCUCUCAUACAUAUUAUUGUGUAGAAUGCAGCCCUUUGGUGGAGAAAAAGAAAUUGUUGAAGGCCACCUGUUCAUCCCUGAUGAGUUGUCCAAAGCUUCCCAAGAUUUCAUUGGGUGGUGCCUGCAAAGAGACCCUAAUAGCCGACCAACCCUCAAUCAGAUCCUCGGACAUCACUGGUUCAGGAGGCAAGGAAAGGUCCAAUGGGCUCUCUUUGGGCAGAACGAAUCUUCUCGACAUCUCCUCAGUACCACCUGUGUGUAAAAUAAAAAAUAAAUAUGUGCUUUUCCUAUUAAAA